rnacentral:misc_RNA from 1 species
GAGCUGAGGGGAGGUGAAUGGGGAUAGGUACAGGUUUGGUGAGAGCUCAGGCGAUGGAAUGAAGCCUCCAAGUUUCACUUUUCGAAAAUAGUUCGGUUUUGGAUCCUUUAGAUGUGAGUGUGCCCGAUCUGGUAGAAUGAAGGCCAAAGCUUGCUGCUGGGGAGAUCGAUGGAGUAGGCGGACACCUUCACCGGCGCCGGUGAAGAGCAUCUCAGGCUCUUUUUCUUCUUCUUUUUUUUGGACAAAUUUGAGAGGAUUGAAGCUCGCCGGACUUACAUGGACCGGUAGUUGACGGGUUUGGGAGGGCUCAAUGUUGACUCAUGAGUGAGAGGAAGAAAAAAAGAGCGG